rnacentral:rRNA from 1 species
UCGAGGAUCUUCGUCAAUGGGCGCAAGCCUGAACGAGCGACGCCGCGUGCGCGAUGAAGGCCUUCGGGUUGUAAAGCGCGAAAGUGGGGAUAAAACCGCAAGGUUGAUUGAUCCACAGUAAGGACGGGCUAAGUUCGUGCCAGCAGCCGCGGUAAGACGAACUGUCCAAACGUUGUUCGGAAUCACUGGGCUUAAAGGGCGCGUAGGCGGUCGAUCAAGUCAGGGGUGAAAUCCUGCAGCUUAACUGUAGAAGUGCCUUUGAUACUGAUCGUCUGGAGGGAGAUAGGGGUGUGUGGAACUUCCAGUGGAGCGGUGAAAUGCGUUGAUAUUGGAAGGAACGCCGGAGGCGAAAGCGACGCACUGGAUCUCUUCUGACGCUGAGGCGCGAAAGCUAGGGGAGCAAACGG